GACGGGUAGCCGACCUGAGAGGGUGACCGGCCACACUGGGACUGAGACUCGGCCCAGACUCCUACGGGAGGCAGCAGUGGGGAAUAUUGCACAAUGGGCGAAAGCCUGAUGCAGCAACGCCGCGUGAGGGAUGACGGCCUUCGGGUUGUAAACCUCUUUUAGUAGGGAAGAGAAUGACGGUACCUGCAGAAAAAGCACCGGCUAACUACGUGCCAGCAGCCGCGGUAAUACGUAGGGUGCAAGCGUUGUCCGGAAUUAUUGGGCGUAAAGAGCUCGUAGGCGGUUUGUCGCGUCUGCUGUGAAAUCCCGAGGCUCAACCUCGGGCUUGCAGUGGGUACGGGCAGACUAGAGUGCGGUAGGGGAGAUUGGAAUUCCUGGUGUAGCGGUGGAAUGCGCAGAUAUCAGGAGGAACACCGAUGGCGAAGGCAGAUCUCUGGGCCGUAACUGACGCUGAGGAGCGAGAGCAUGGGGAGCGAACAGGAUUAGAUACCCUGGUAGUCCAUGCCGUAAACGUUGGGCGCUAGAUGUAGGGACCUUCCCGUUUCUGUGUCGUAGCUAACNCAUUAAGCACCCCGCCUGGG
rnacentral:rRNA from 1 species